rnacentral:rRNA from 1 species
ACAAUGGAGAGUUUGAUCCUGGCUCAGGAUGAACGCUAGCUACAGGCUUAACACAUGCAAGUCGAGGGGAAACGGCAUUGAGUGCUUGCACUCUUUGGACGUCGACCGGCGCACGGGUGAGUAACGCGUAUCCAACCUUCCCAUUACUGUGGGAUAACCUGCCGAAAGGCAGACUAAUACCGCAUAGUCUUCGAUGACGGCAUCAGAUUUGAAGUAAAGAUUUAUCGGUAAUGGAUGGGGAUGCGUCUGAUUAGCUUGUUGGCGGGGUAACGGCCCACCAAGGCAACGAUCAGUAGGGGUUCUGAGAGGAAGGUCCCCCACAUUGGAACUGAGACACGGUCCAAACUCCUACGGGAGGCAGCAGUGAGGAAUAUUGGUCAAUGGACGGAAGUCUGAACCAGCCAAGUAGCGUGCAGGAUGACGGCCCUAUGGGUUGUAAACUGCUUUUGUAUGGGGAUAAAGUUAGGGACGUGUCCCUAUUUGCAGGUACCAUACGAAUAAGGACCGGCUAAUUCCGUGCCAGCAGCCGCGGUAAUACGGAAGGUCCAGGCGUUAUCCGGAUUUAUUGGGUUUAAAGGGAGCGUAGGCUGGAGAUUAAGUGUGUUGUGAAAUGUAGACGCUCAACGUCUGAAUUGCAGCGCAUACUGGUUUCCUUGAGUACGCACAACGUUGGCGGAAUUCGUCGUGUAGCGGUGAAAUGCUUAGAUAUGACGAAGAACUC